rnacentral:rRNA from 1 species
AUUGAACGCUGGCGGCAUGCUUUACACAUGCAAGUCGAACGGUAACAGGCCGCAAGGUGCUGACGAGUGGCGAACGGGUGAGUAAUGCAUCGGAACGUGCCCAGUCGUGGGGGAUAACGCAGCGAAAGCUGUGCUAACACCGCAUACGAUCUAUGGAUGAAAGCGGGGGACCGUAAGGCCUCGCGCGAUUGGAGCGGCCGAUGUCAGAUUAGGUAGUUGGUGGGGUAGAGGCCUACCAAGCCGACGAUCUGUAGCUGGUCUGAGAGGACGACCAGCCACACUGGGACUGAGACACGGCCCCGACUCCUGCGGGAGGCAGCAGUGGGGAAUUUUGGACAGUGGGCGCAAGCCUGAUCCAGCAAUGCCGCGUGCAGGAAGAAGGCCUUCGGGUUGUAAACUGCUUUUGUACGGAACGAAACGGCCUGGGUUAAUACCCUGGGCUAAUGACGGUACCGUAAGAAUAAGCACCGGCUAACUACGUGCCAGCCGCCGCCGUAAAAC